rnacentral:lncRNA from 1 species
CAAAUCUCUGAAAGAAAUGGAAACACCCUUGUCAGCACUUGGAAUGCAAAAUGGUUGCCGAGUCAUGUUAAUUGGUGAAAAGAGCAAUCCAGAAGAAGAGGCUGAGUUGAAAAAGCUGAAGGACUUGGAGGUAUCUGUGGAGAAGACAGCUAACCACCUGGAAGAGUUGAAUAAAGAGCUUUCUGACAUCCAGCAGGUGACUUCCCUAGUCUAGGGAUAGAGCGCUAUGGUAUUGUUGCCUGGCUGGCUUUUUAAAAACCAGCUUACUUCAUUUUUAUUAUGUAUUAUGUGUGUGUCUGCGUCUGAGUCUGUGUGGGAGUAUGUGCAUGUGUCGCUGAUGGCCAGGGCCACCAGAG